rnacentral:tmRNA from 1 species
GGGGCAGACAUGGCUUUGACAGCAUGUAGAAUUGGUAUGUAAGCAUGUCGGGCGUAGUGAAGCCGGCCCGUAAAUCCCGGACGCAAAACUAUAAUUGGCGAAAAUAAUUACGCUCUUGCUGCCUAAUCGAAGCACAGUAGAUGUGGCUUAAUCUCUGCUCAAGGAGUAGAGACAGGACAUCCCACCGGUGGUUAUGCCUUAUUCCGGCCGGUAUGCGGGGUGCAGUCAAUAUGAGGAUAGUCUGGACCUGCUUCGGGUUUUAGAUGAAAAUUUAGAAGAUAAGAUGUAGUUUGGAUGCUUUUUUCCGGCCUGCAUUCGAAAACCAACAAAAAGCUAAGCAUGUAGAAAGCAUAUGAAUUGCGUGUUUGGACCAGGGUUCGAUUCCCUGCUGCUCCACAA